rnacentral:lncRNA from 1 species
AUGGUAAGCAGUAUCAGGAUAAGUUACAUCCAUCAUUGAAGAGGAAGUACUAGGCGGGCAUUCUCCAUGAAAUAACCAUUGUUUAUAACCCCGAACAAACCCAUCAACAAUUAGAUGCUCAUAUACAACCUCACGAUAAUGCCAGUUUAUGUUGACACAAUUCUUAUAGGGGCAAAGAAUCAUGUUCUCUUGGCUUGCGUAUUGAAAUGCAAAAUUUAGAAACGUCUGUACUCCAUUUCGAUAGCCGUUGCUUACCCUUGACAAAUUCA